AAGCUACUAAAUAAUGGAGUCCAUCAAAGAAUUACAGCUAAAAUUAAUAAUAAUAAGUGUUUCUUCAAUGACUCAUACAUUAUUGAGAUUCCAAUAAAAUUAUAUUUUGAAAAUAGCGCGGCUUCGUCAUGGAAAUUAUUUCGAACUGUAAGAAAAGUUUUAAAAGAAAACUGUAAGAAUCCUGUAAUGUCAAUUAAUGAAAACCAUGCACCAGAAUACUACGCCCGAGGUUUAUACUGGGACGAAUUUAACUCUCAAAUAUAUCUAUGUAAUAACCAAUAUGUUAUAAGUUUUCAUGAACCUGCUUGCUUCUUCUCAAAAGAUGAUGGCUUGCGUUGGCAAGAAAUGGACUUGCGCAUCGGAGCAGUUCUUGGACAUCAUACAUUUGAAUAGAGAAUUUUAUGCCAUACACAGAAACCAAAAGUCAUAUUUAAUGUUUCAUAAUAUAUAUAAAAAAUGGACGGCUGUAACAAAAGAUGAUUUUGUAACCAAUGUCUUAAAUAAUCUUGAUUGGUCAAAUGUAAAAUCAUUUGAGGAAGAUAUAGAAUAUAGUGUAUCUUUUGGAACCAAGCAGUGGAUGGGAAAAAAAGAUGGAUUAUACUUUAAAAGCUUGACUAACAAUACGUGGGUUAAAAGAUUUAAAUGGAACGUUUAAAACUAAUAUUUUAGUUUAUAUUAGGAUUUGUAAAAUUUAUAUUCUACUUCCUUUUUUUAUAUUCUAAUAUAAAAAAUAAAAAAUUGCAUUUAAA